CGACAGCUGCGCGGACAAUCUGGAAAACUACUGCCCCAAAAUGAUCCUCAGUUACUCGACAAUUUACUCCGACGGAACCGUCACCUACGGCGGCUACUCCGAUCACAUGGUCUGCGACGAGCACUUCGUGGUGCGCGUCCCGGACAACCUUCCUCUCGACGGUGCUGCACCUCUUCUCUGCGCAGGAAUCACAGUGUAUAGCCCACUGCGGCACUAUGGACUCGACCAGCCUGGCAUGCAUGUGGGUGUGGUUGGGCUCGGUGGGUUAGGCCAUGUUGCUGUCAAAUUCGCCAAGGCUAUGGGGGUUAAGGUCACUGUC
rnacentral:lncRNA from 1 species